rnacentral:rRNA from 1 species
AAUGAACGUUGGCGGCGUGGAUUAGGCAUGCAAGUCGUGCGGCAGCAGGCCCCGCAAGGGGUGCUGGCGAGCGGCGAAAGGGAUAGUAAUGUGUGGAUACCUGCCCUGGGGACGGGGAUAGCUGCUGGAAACGGCAAUUAAUACCCGAUGAUGUCUCCGGACCAAAGGUGUAAUUCCGCCCUAGGAGGGGUCCACAUCCUAUUAGCUAGUUGGUGAGGUAACGGCUCACCAAGGCCACGAUGGGUAGCGGGUGUGAGAGCACGACCCGCAUCACUGGGACUGAGACACUGCCCAGACACCUACGGGUGGCUGCAGUCGAGGAUCUUCGGCAAUGAGCGAAAGCUUGACCGAGCGACGCCGCGUGCGGGAUGAAGGCCUUCGGGUUGUAAACCGCUUUCGGAGGGGAGGAAAUCUAGGGGGGAUCACCCUUCUAGUUGACCUAUCCUAGGAAGAAGGAGGGGCUAAGUUCGUGCCAGCCGCCGCCGUAAAAC